AAAUUCCUAUCUUUCUCUACAAUAGAAAAAACAUUAUUAAUGUUCUAAGUUUAGUUUACUAAAAAUGCAAAUGUACUCUUCCCAGUCAAAAUUGCCCAGCAUCCUUACAAUUGUGACUUAGGCAGGCAGGUGGAAACGAUGUUAGUUUUAUUAGCAGCUUCUGGGCUAAAUGCCUUAGGUAACAGAAAUCAGAGGAAUGAUAUUGCAAUGACAUUGUCCUUUAACAAAGGAGUGAUGCUUAACAUGAGAAAUCUACAGUCUGGCCACUGAAAACUGAAGGAAAAUAACCACUGUUCAUUAUUGUGAAACAGGAGAAAACAAGGCAUCAUAAGUUAAAUAAGGUUUUUCCUUCCAGAACUGAAAAGCAAGUUAAUCCAAAUGACAGAUUGGAUGGACUUUCUUACAAAAUUGUGGGCUUCUCAUUUCUGGAUGUGCUCAGACAACAGAUGGACACUAAUCUAUGGGAAUCCUGCAGUAGGUGGAAGUUGUACCAGAUUGCAUUUGAUGAUUGAAGAAAAUUAUAAAAUUUGUUUGAUGUCAUUCUCAAUAUAUGUAAAGGACAUAUUUAAGACAAUUUUAUCAUAAACUGUAAAGGACAAAGGGGCUUAAAGGAAGCACAUCUGCUUCAUGGUUUUCCGCAGCCUAGCUUUGUCUGCUAUAUAGUCCACCCGGAAGAAGAGAGUCUAAUCACAA